rnacentral:rRNA from 1 species
UACGUAGGGGGCAAGCGUUGUCCGGAUUUAUUGGGCGUAAAGCGCGUGUAGGUGGCCAAGUAGGUCCGCUGUGAAAACUUGAGGCUCAACCUCAAGCUGUCGGUGGAAACCCCUUGGCUAGAGUCCGGAAGAGGAGAGUGGAAUUCCUGGUGUAGCGGUGAAAUGCGCAGAUAUCAGGAAGAACACCAAUGGCGAAGGCAGCUCUCUGGGACGGUACUGACACUGAGACGCGAAAGCUAGGGGAGCAAACGGG